rnacentral:tRNA from 1 species
GCCUGGCUGGCUCAGUCGGUAGAGCAUGAGAUUCUUGAUCUCAGGGUUGGGAGUUCAAGCCCCAAGUUGGGCA